rnacentral:misc_RNA from 1 species
AACAUAGAUGCAAAAGAUAUCAAUAAACUGAAGAACAACCUCCAGUACCAACCCACCCACCAACUGAAAAAGCGUAACACUGUUUUAUUCCAAGGGGAUAAAAAUGCGCCCUAGCAAACAAGAAUUCAAGAUGACUUUAUCUUGAAUUAUCCAAUCCUCGGAACUACUACCUACACACCUCACUAUGAAUACAUGGAUGCCUUUGGACCUUCACAAUAAUAACUCGUUAAAGAAAAGGAUGAAACCCAAUAUUCCAUGUGGAUUGGUAACUGUUCAUGCCCAAUUUGGAUGAGUGCUUUAUAAGGAACAUCAAUAAUCCAUGCCCAUGCCAGGGGCCAUUGCUGGAACAUCCUUCUCGUCUUUUGGAAGUUCAGAUACAACAGCUUCUGUUGUUGUCAUCAAUGAUGACACGCUUGCCGCAUCAACCAAAGCAGUUCUAAUUACUUU